rnacentral:rRNA from 1 species
AUUGAACGCUGGCGGCAGGCCUAACACAUGCAAGUCGAGCGAGCGGCGGACGGGUGAGUAAUGUAUGGGGACUGCCCGAUAGAGGGGGAUAACUACUGGAAACGGUGGCUAAUACCGCAUACUAUCGGAUAACCCAUAUGGGAUUAGCUAGUGGGUGGGGUAAAGGCUCACCUAGGCGACGAUCCAUAGCUGGUCUGAGAGGAUGAUCGGCCACACUGGGACUGAGACACGGCCCAGACUCCUACGGAGGCAGCAGUAGGGAAUAUUGGACAAUGGGCGAAAGCCUGAUGCAGCAAUGCCGCGUGAGUGAAGAAGGCCUUAGGGUUGUAAAGUACUUUCGUCGGGGAGGCGUUACCCACAGAGAAAGCAACGGCUAACUACGUGCCAGCAGCCGCGGUAAUUC